AUGGGGACGAGGAGGCGACCUAUGGGGUUAUGGGUUAUAUGGGGUUAUAUGGGAUUAUAUGGGGUUAUAUGGGGUUAUAUGGGGUUAUAUGGGGUUAUAUGGGGGGAUAUGGGGUUAUAUGGGGUUAUAUGGGGUUAUAUGGGGGGAUAUGGGGUUAUAUGGGGGGAUAUGGGGUUAUAUGGGGUUAUAUGGGGUUAUAUGGGGGGAUAUGGGGUUAUGGGGGGAUAUGGGGUUAUGGGGUGGUUAUGGGGCAGUUAUGGGGCGAUAUGGGGUUAUAUGGGGCAAUAUGGGGUGGAUAUGGGGCCAUAUGAGGCGGUUAUGGGGCGUAUGGGGUCAUAUGGGGCAGUUAUGGGGGGCUAUGGGGCGAUAAGGGGCAGCUAUGGGGUGCUAUGGGGCAGCAAUGGGGUACUAUGGGGCGGAUAUGGGGCAGUUAUGGGGUCAUAUAGGGUGGGUAUCGGGUGGGUAUCGGGUGGUUAUGGGGUGAUAUGGGGCCAUAUGGGGCAGUUAUGGGGCGAUAUGGGGUUAUAUGGGGCCAUAUGGGGUGGCUAUGGGGUGCUAUGGGGUGGCUAUGGAGCACUUAUGGGUCGCUAUGGGGCAGCUAUGGGGCGCUAUGGGGCAGCUAUGGGGCACUUAUGGGGCGCUAUGGAGCUGCUAUGGGGUGGUUAUGGGGCAGCUAUGGGGUGAUUUAGGGCGGUUAUGGGUGGAUAUGGGGCAGUUAUGGGGUCACAUAGGGUGGAUAUUGGGUGGUUAUGGGGCGAUAUGGGGUGAUAUGGGGCCAUAUGGGGUUAUAUGGGGCACUUAUGGGGCACUUAUGGGGCGCUAUGGGGCAGCUAUGGGGCGGCUAUGGGGCACUUAUGGGGCGCUCUGGGGCAGCUCUGGGGCGCUAUGGGGCAGCUAUGGGGCGCUAUGGGUCUCUAUGGGGCGCUAUGGGUCGCUAUGGGGCGCUAUGGGGCAGCUAUGGGGCGCUAUGGGUCUCUAUGGGGCCCUAUGGGGUGGUUAUAGGGUGGCUAUGGGGCACUUAUAGGGCACUUAUGGGUCUCUAUGGGUCGCUAUGGGGCGCUAUGGGUCUCUAUGGGGCAGCUAUUGGGCGCUAUGGGGUCAUAUGGAACACUUAUGGGGCACUUAUGGGGCGCUAUGGGGCAGCUAUGGGGUGGUUAUGGAACACUUAUGGGUCUCUAUGGGGCGCUAUGGGGCAGCUAUAGAGUCAGUGUGUCACGUGACGCGCAGACCUGCUCCCAUUGGUAGACGUGGACCCGCCCCCCCCUCCUCCCGUCGUAAUGGAGGGGGGCCCCGACCAGCAGAACCGGAACCGGAAACGAACCGGAACCGGAACCGGAAACCAGCAACCAGAGCAAGGCGGAACCGAACUGAGAGCCCAGCUGGGAACAGAGACAUAGAGACCCAUAGAGACCCAUAGAUAUUAAUAGAGGUUGAGAGAGCGCCCCCUAGCGGCUCGGAGGACUCAUUGCAACCCAUAGGGAUUAAUAGGGAACCAUUGAGACACAUAGGAACCCCAUAGAGAUACAUAGGGACAUAUAGGGACCCCAUAGAGAUACAUAGGGACACAUAGGGACCCCAUAGAGACACAUAGGGACAUAUAGGGACCCAUAGGGACACAUAGAGAGACAUUGGGACCCAUAGGGAGAUAUAGGGACACAUAGGGAGACAUUGGGACCCAUAGAGAGACAUUGAGAGACAUUGGGACCCAUAGGGACCCAUAGGGACCCAUAGGAAGACAUAGGGACCCCAUAGAAACCCAAAGAGGCCCCAUUGAAACCCCAUAGGGACCCAUAGAGACCUAUAGAGAUACAUUGGGACCCAUAGAGAGACAUUGGGACCCAUACGGACCCCAUAGAGACCUACAGGGACCCAUAGAGAUCCAUAGGGAGAUAUAGAGAUCCAUACGGACCCAUAGAGACCGAUAGGGACCCAUACGGACCCAUAGAGACCUAUAGGGACACAUAGGGACACAUAGGGACACAUAGAGAUACAUAAGGAGACAUAUGGACCUCCCAUAUCCUCCCUUAUCCCCCCAUAUUUCCCAUAUCCCCCCAUAUAUCCCCCUAUAUCCCCUAUAUCCCCUAUACCCCCCUAUCUACCUGCUCCCAUGGACGCUGUGGUUCCGGUACCACCCCCGUUCCCCCCCCCUCCAUAUCCCCCCAUAUCUCCCAUAUACCCCCCCAUAGACCCCCCAUUACACCCCCAUAGAGUCCCAUAGGACACCUAUAGACCCCCAUAGAGUCCCAGAGACCCCCAUAGAAACCCCAUAUCCCCCAUAUCCCCCCAUAUAUCCCCUAUAUCUUCCCAUAUCGCCACCCUAUAGCCCAUAUAUCCCCCCCAUAUCCCCCCAUAUCCCCCAUUAACCCCCAUUUUAUCCCCCCAUAUCCCCCUCAUAUGCUCCCCAUAUAACCCCAUAUCCCCCCAUAUCCCACUCAUAAUCUCCCCAUAGACCCCCACAGACCCCACAGACCCCCAUAGAGUCCCAUAGACCCCCAUUACAGCCCCAUAUCCCCCCCAUAGAGUUCCCAUAGAGUCCCAUAGCCCCCAUAUACCCCCAUAAACCACCCCAUAGCCCCCAUAUAGACCCCAUAUGAACCCCAUAUGAACCCAUAUAUCCCCGCAUGAUAGACCCCAUAUAUCCCCAUAUCCCAUAGUACUCCCCUAUCCCCCCCUAUCUACCUUGCUCCCCAUGGACGCUGUGGUCCGAUUCCACCCCCGUCCCCCCCCUCCAUAUCCCCCCAUAAACCCACCCCAUAUCCCCCCAUACUCCCCAUAUCCCCCAUAUCCCCCAUAUCCCCCAUAUCUCCCCCAUAUCCCCCAAUAUACCCCCUAUUAUCCCCCAUAUUAUCCCCCAUAUAGACCUAUAUCCCCCAUAUCCCCCCUAUAUCCCCUAUCCCCCCCCAUCUACCUGCUCCAUGGACGCUGUGGGUCGCGGUUCCACCCCCGUCCGCCCCCUCCAUGAUCUCGACCCCUCCAACCAUGGACGCCGCCGUGGGGCGCCCACAGCCAACAUGGUGGAGCUGGCCCUAGGACAUGGCCGGCCAUGGCGUAACUGCCAGGGGGAUCUAUUAGCAUAUCAUUAAGCAUAUCAUUUAAGGCAUAUCAUUAGCAUCCCUCCAUCCCCACCCCAUAGGGCCCCCCACCCCAUAGACCCCCAUAGACCCCCAUAAAGCCCCAUAGAACCCCAUAGAGCACCAUACAGACCCAUAUACCCCCAUAGACCCCCAUAAAGCCCAUAGAACCCCAUAGAGCACCAUAACAGACCCCAUAUACCCCCAUUAGACCCCCCAUAGAGCCCCAUAGAGCCCCAUAGAGCUCCAUAUACCCCCAUGAUAGACCGCCAUAGAGGCCCCACAGAGGCCUCAUAAAACCCCAUAGAGCCCCAUAUACCCCCAUAGACCACCCAUUAUACCCCCAUAGAGCCCCAUAGAAGCCCCAUAUACCCCCCAUAGACCCCCCAUUAGAGGCCCCACCAGAAAAAACACACCCACACAAACAAACCAAAAAAAACCAACCCAAAAAAAAAAAACAACACAACAAACUAUACCCCCAUAGACCCCCAUAGAGCCCAUAGAGCCCCAUAUUACCCCCAGACAAGCCCCAUUAUACCCCCAUUACACCCCCAGAGAGCCCCAUAGACCCCCAUAGACCCCAUAUAUUCCCAUAUACCCGCCAUAGCAGAACCCCCAAUAGACCACCCCAAACACAAUAGAACACCCCCAUUAAUGUCCCCCUAUGGGACCCUCCCCAUUACCACCCCCGAUUAAUUUACCCCCCAUUGAAUUACACAUUACCCCCAUUAAUUAAUUACCCCCCAUUAAUUACCCCCCAUUAAUUACCCAUUAUAAGCAUUUCCUCGUUCGUCCCCCCUAUUGUUGUUGGCUACGAACGUCUCCGGGGGGGGCAGGAUCUGGAGGAGCCCCCCGGCCCCAUUUGUCGCCCCCACCGCCCCCGUCAGCACGCGGCCCUAUAGGGAAUAGAGACCCCCAUAUAACCCCAUAGACGCCCAUAGAGACCCAUAGAGAACCAUAGAGCCCCAUAGGGAACCCAUAAAGCCCCAUAGAGAACCAUAGAGACCCAAUAGAUCCCCAAUAGAGCCCCAUAGGGAACCCAUAGAGACCCCAUAGAGACCCAUAGACGCCCCAUAGAGCCCCAUUAGAGCCCCAUUAGGGAACCCAUAGAACCCCAUAGAGCCCCACAAGAGCCCCAUGGAUCAUAGCACGCGGCCCUAUAGGCAAUAAAGACCCCAUAGAACCCCA
rnacentral:lncRNA from 1 species